ensembl:ncRNA mir-13b-2 mir-13b-2 stem loop
UAUUAACGCGUCAAAAUGACUGUGAGCUAUGUGGAUUUGACUUCAUAUCACAGCCAUUUUGACGAGUUUG